AUUGAACGCUGGCGGCAUGCCUUACACAUGCAAGUCGAACGGUAACAGGUCUUCGGAUGCUGACGAGUGGCGAACGGGUGAGUAAUACAUCGGAACGUGCCCGAUCGUGGGGGAUAACGGAGCGAAAGCUUUGCUAAUACCGCAUACGAUCUACGGAUGAAAGCAGGGGACCGCAAGGCCUUGCGCGGACGGAGCGGCCGAUGGCAGAUUAGGUAGUUGGUGGGAUAAAAGCGUACCAAGCCGACGAUCUGUAGCUGGUAUGAGAGGACGACCAGCCACACUGGGACUGAGACACGGCCCAGACUCCUACGGGAGGCAGCAGUGGGGAAUUUUGGACAAUGGGCGCAAGCCUGAUCCAGCCAUGCCGCGUGCAGGAUGAAGGCCUUCGGGUUGUAAACUGCUUUUGUACGGAACGAAAAGACUCCUUCUAAUAAAGGGGGUCCAUGACGGUACCGUAAGAAUAAGCACCGGCUAACUACGUGCCAGCAGCCGCCGUAACAC
rnacentral:rRNA from 1 species